CACAAAAUCAUGCAAGUCAAGAGGUUCAAAUCUUCGUGUUCACUUUAAGAACACUGGGGAAACUGCCCAGGCCAUCAAAGGAAUGCAUAUUCGAAAAGUUACCAAGUAUCUGAAGGAUGUCACUUUACAGAAGCAAUGUGGUGGAGUUGAUGGGACUCUUAAAAGAACUCCUUAUUGGCCUGCUGGGGAUGCUUGUGAAAGAAGUCUGCAGCAGCAGCCCCUUCACUGUGUCUUCAUUUGACAGAAAAUCUGUUCUACAGGAGACUCCUGCUUGGUGCUGACCACCAGAAUGGCUGCCUGGCCUGCCUCCACAGUGAAGCAGAGUGGCCACCUGAACCUGCUUCACUCAGCAGUUCGAAAGGGAGGCAGAUGGCGGCAUAGGUAAACGCGGUAUUGUGUCCUCCGACAACCACAUC